CAUUGAUGCUGAGCCAAAAACUACUGCAAAAUGGUGCAGCUGCAGCGUGAUAUGGAAUGGAGAGAAGAAAAUCAUUUGCUUCUCCUGGAGAAAAUGCCAGCCAGCCAAAAAUGCAGAGUGCAACAUGAAAGAACUGAAACUAUUUGAAUCUCUAGUGCAUUGAACUUAACAACUUGAGAGCCAGAGCUUCUUGCUCUGAUAGAGAAAUGGAAUCGGUUUUCACUAGUUUAUCUCUGUCCUCUAUUGUCUUGCCAUCAUCACUGUCACUAUCAAAAUAUAUCUUUGACCUCUUCCGUUUCCUGUCGCCCAUUCUCUCUCCUUCUGACCCAGAAUCAUCCUCAUCGUCUCCAUCUUCUUCUUUGUCCAUGGUUUGUUUCUUCCACUUCAUCUUCCCCUUAAUUCGUUUCUCUCGGCGACGCUGUCGGUCCUGCGCCUUAUCUUCCUUGUCUGCUUGCUUCAACUCCUCUCUCAUCUUCACAUAAUAUUCUUCUCUUUUGCCUUGAUCAAGUAAAGAUGAAUUAUCAACAUUCUUUGCAUCAGCCACCCUUGCAAGUGGAGGAAGUGUAUUACCCUCCUCAUCAAAGACAACCCUUGUUCCCACUGGUCUAUGGAUAUUGAUCUUCAACUUCUUUUUCUUUAGAACCCGUGUUGCAGGCAAGAUUGGCCCCAGUUCAAUUGCUUUGGCUUCACCCUCGUGUUCGCCAUCCUUCGACAGUAGAAAACCUUUCUCCACAUCUGCUUCCUCAUGGUCACCAAUAUCUAGCUUUCCUCUUGGUCCUCCCAGAUCUUCCCUGAAAGAGCCAGUUGGUAGGUUGGCAAUGUCCUUGUCAGCAUUAUCCAAUUGCAUUCCUGACAUCUUCUUUC
rnacentral:misc_RNA from 1 species